GUUAAAAAAAUAUCACUCGACUUGGUCUGCUGCUUAUUUUUUAUGAGCGUAAUAACAUAAUUUUCCACCUAUGUAAAUGCCCAAAUAGCGCAGUACGUCUUAUGGACGUUCAUUUUACGUCCAUUUUACGUUCAUAUAUCCAUGGACAUAAAAUAGUUGUCCAUUAUACGUCCAUAUAAGUACGUACAUUGACUAAUAAUAAACGUACAUCCAGUGGACACCAUUUGAAAUCCACUUUAUAUAAUUAAUGUAUGGAUAUAUACUGUACGUCCAAUGGAUGAUCGUACAUGGACAUGUUUUGGACUAUUCAUUUUUUGUUCCAAAAAGGAUGGAAAUUUACAAAUUCUUUAUCGUAAUUCAUCUGUAAUAUUAUAAUAAAUAAUAAAUAUUACAUGGUAAUGAGUAUUACAUAAAAUUCACUGUUUGCAUUUGUGAUCAAAAGUUAACUAAGUUAACUAAGGCCGGUAUUCAUAGUCGGAUCUUAUAUUUAAGAACGUCUUAAGUUUAUCUUGAGAAUAUGUAUGGAUCAUUUCAUUGGCUACUGAAUAUCUGAAGAUGAACUUGAGAUAGUCUUAAAUAUAAGACUAUCUCAAGUAUCUGACUAUGAAUACCGGCCUAACAAUUUGUGUAUAAUAAAUGCACGAUUCAUAUUUAGUUCGCGAGUUUGCAUAACCAAUGGUAAAAAAGAAAAGAAUAUUACAAAUGGCAGAGCCAAUAAUAUCGAUCGUCAGCGCGCGACACAUGAUCGAUGCUCGAUUACCGCCAUUUCCUGGGUACCUAUUAUGGAACUCGUCGGAAUCGAUUCCGAUCGGAAACGUUCAAUUAUUUCCUACAUUUCUAUUGUCUUUUCUAAAGCAUCGUCUACAAUGAAGAUUUAAGACUUAAGCUUUAAGAAAUUGACUAAUUCUAUUGGAUCAUUCUUGUAAUAGUCGAUUGUGAUUGGUCAAUUUCUUAAAGCUUAAGUCUUAAAGUUUCAUUGUAGACGACACUUAAGGGAAACGGAAUUAUUCCGAUCGGAAUCGAUCGAAUCGACGAGUUCCAUAAUAGGUACCCUGAAAGUGAACGUUUGGAUUCCAAUCGUAAGAUUUCAGUGAAAUAAUCAAUCAAUCAGCCGUUUUAACGGCUACAAAAUAGAGAUAAUACGACUAUACGGAUACGAGAAUUAAAACUAGUUUUAAUUCUGGAGCGCAAGACCACCAGAUUUUGGGAGAUUGCACUAGAGGCUGUUAUACAGAAAAUAAAAAAUAA